ensembl:lncRNA
UCAAUGUGGAGGCUAUAUACAGGGUGUUACGGUACAGAGUCAAUGUGGAGGCUAUAUACAGGGGGUACCGGUACAGACUCAAUGUGGAGGCUAUAUACAGGGGGGGUACCGGUACAGAGUCAAUGUGGAGGCUAUAUACAGGGGGUACCGGUACAGAGUCAAUGUGGAGGCUAUAUACAGGGGGUACCGGUACAGAGUCAAUGUGGAGGCUAUAUACAGGGGGUACCGGUACAUAGUCAAUGUGGAGGCUAUAUACAGGGUA